CCUACGGGUGGCAGCAGUCGAGAAUCAUUCACAAUGGGGGAAACCCUGAUGGUGCGACGCCGCGUGGGGGAAUGAAGGUCUUCGGAUUGUAAACCCCUGUCAUGUGGGAGCAAAUUAAAAAGAUAGUACCACAAGAGGAAGAGACGGCUAACUCUGUGCCAGCAGCCGCGGUAAUACAGAGGUCUCAAGCGUUGUUCGGAAUCACUGGGCGUAAGGCGUGCGUAGGCUGUUUCGUAAGUCGUGUGUGAAAGGCGCGGGCUCAACCCGCGGACGGCACAUGAUACUGCGAGACUAGAGUAAUGGAGGGGGAGACGGAAUUCUCGGUGUAGCAGUGAAAUGCGUAGAUAUCGAGAGGAACACUCGUGGCGAAGGCGGGUUCCUGGACAUUAACUGACGGUGAGGCACGAAGGCCAGGGGAGCGAAAGGGAUUAGAUACCCGGGUAGUC
rnacentral:rRNA from 1 species